GGUAUUAUACUUUAUAUAGAAGAUAUGAUUUGCAAUCAUAAAGAAAGAAUUUAUUCUUUAACACCAUAA
rnacentral:tRNA from 1 species